GGCUCGGUAGCUUAGUUGGAAAAGCACUUGUCUAGCGUGUAAGGGUCGUGAGUUCAAAUCUCACCUGAGCUG
rfam:Aedes albopictus isolate Foshan contig134899, whole genome shotgun sequence.